GUGGGGAAUAUUGGACAAUGGGCGAAAGCCUGAUCCAGCCAUGCCGCGUGUGUGAAGAAGGUCUUCGGAUUGUAAAGCACUUUAAGUUGGGAGGAAGGGCAUUAACCUAAUACGUUAGUGUUUUGACGUUACCAACAGAAUAAGCACCGGCUAACUUCGUGCCAGCAGCCGCGGUAAUACGAAGGGUGCAAGCGUUAAUCGGAAUUACUGGGCGUAAAGCGCGCGUAGGUGGUUCAGCCAUUUGAAGGUGAAAUCCCCGGGCUCAACCUGGGAACUGCCUCCAAAACUACUGAGCUAGAGUACGGUAGAGGGUAGUGGAAUUUCCUGUGUAGCGGUGAAAUGCGUAGAUAUAGGAAGGAACACCAGUGGCGAAGGCGACUACCUGGACUGAUACUGACACUGAGGUGCGAAAGCGUGGGGAGCAAACAGGAUUAGAAACCCGGGUAGUCC
rnacentral:rRNA from 1 species